UAAUAAAAGUGAAAUUUUUUUUAUGGCACUUUUAAAACAAUCCAUAUCCACCUUGUGUGCAAUGUUUUUCAUUAUUUUUUUUUUACAACUCAUUUUAAAACUUAUUUUAUCUGAAAUAUAUAUUAUGAAUAACUUAAUUCAAAAAAUA
rnacentral:misc_RNA from 1 species